rnacentral:rRNA from 1 species
GUGCCAGCAGCCGCGGUAAUACGAAGGACCCGAGCGUUAUCCGGAUUUAUUGGGUUUAAAGGGUGCGUAGGCGGAACGGUAAGUCAGUGGUGAAAUCCUGUUGCUUAACAACGGAACUGCCAUUGAUACUGCCGAUCUUGAGUACAUAUGAUGUGGGCGGAAUGUGCCAUGUAGCGGUGAAAUGCUUAGAUAUGGCACAGAACACCGAUUGCGAAGGCAGCUCACAAAACUGUUACUGACGCUGAGGCACGAAAGCGUGGGGAUCAAACAGGAUUAGAUACCCUGGUAGUCC